rnacentral:tRNA from 1 species
GGGGCCAUAGCUCAGCNGGGAGAGCGCGUGAAUGGCAUUCACGAGGUCGGGAGUUCGAUCCUCCCUGGCUCCACCA